rnacentral:rRNA from 1 species
UACGGGGGGAGCAAGCGUUGUUCGGAUUUACUGGGCGUAAAGGGUUGGUAGGUGGUCUUGUUUGUCUAAGGUGAAAUCCCAUGGCUUAACUGUGGAAGUGCCUUGGAAACGGCAAGACUAGAGUCCUAGAGGGGUUUGUGGAAUUCCCGGUGUAGCGGUGAAAUGCGUAGAGAUCGGGAGGAACACCAGCGGCGAAGGCGGCAAACUGGAUAGGCACUGACACUCAACAACGAAAGCGUGGGGAGCGAACAGG